rnacentral:rRNA from 1 species
AACGAACGCUGGCGGCAUGCCUAACACAUGCAAGUCGAACGAGACCUUCGGGUCUAGUGGCGCACGGGUGCGUAACGCGUGGGAACCUGCCCUUAGGUUCGGAAUAACUCCCCGAAAGGGGUGCUAAUACCGGAUAAUGUCUUCGGACCAAAGAUUUGUCGCCUUUGGAUGGGCCCGCGUUGGAUUAGCUAGUUGGUAGGGUAAAAGCCUACCAAGGCGACGAUCCAUAGCUGGUCUGAGAGGAUGAUCAGCCACACUGGGACUGAGACACGGCCCAGACUCCUACGGGAGGCAGCAGUGGGGAAUAUUGGACAAUGGGCGAAAGCCUGAUCCAGCAAUGCCGCGUGAGUGAUGAAGGCCUUAGGGUUGUAAAGCUCUUUUACCCGAGAUGAUAAUGACAGUACCGGGAGAAGAAGCUCCGGCUAACUCCGUG